rnacentral:piRNA from 1 species
UGCAGCAGAGCCCCAGCAGUUAC